rnacentral:rRNA from 1 species
GACGAACGCUGGCGGCGUGCUUAACACAUGCAAGUCGAACGGAAAGGCCCUGCUUUUGUGGGGUGCUCGAGUGGCGAACGGGUGAGUAACACGUGAGUAACCUGCCCUUGACUUUGGGAUAACUUCAGGAAACUGGGGCUAAUACCGGAUAGGAGCUCCUGCUGCAUGGUGGGGGUUGGAAAGUUUCGGCGGUUGGGGAUGGACUCGCGGCUUAUCGGCUUGUUGGUGGGGUAGUGGCUUACCAAGGCUUUGACCGGUAGCCGGGCUGAGAGGGUGACCGGCCACAUUGGGACUGAGAUACGGCCCAGACUCCUACGGGAGGCAGCAGUGGGGAAUAGUGCACAAUGGGCGGAAGCCUGAUGCAGCAACGCCGCGUGCGGGAUGACGGCCUUCGGGUUGUAAACCGCUUUCGCCUGUGACGAAGCGUGAGUGACGGUAAUGGGUAAAGAAGCACCGGCUAACUACGUG